ensembl:lncRNA
CCUCGCUCCGCCCCGUCUCUGGGACGAGUGGUCGCGCGGCACUGCCGUGCGGGAUGAGAUGUAGUCCCGCCUCUGGGGCCGUGCCCAGAAACGCGGCUCGAGGGGCGGUAAUUGUUGCUCCUUUCUGCUCGUUGUGCGUGGUUUUUUUUUUUUUUUUGUUUUUUUUUUUGUUGUUGUUUGUUUGUUUUUUUAUUGCAGGCUGGUGUUUGUCUGCCUGUGGUUUUGCGGGGCCUUUCACCCGCGCUGUUAUGUGGUGCUUUGUUUCUGCGCUCUCAGCUUCUGUGGGAUGUGUGAAUCCCCAUUACCUGACAGGUGAAGAAUUAAACCCUGGGGUGGAGCAUAGCUUGGGGACCAGGCUAUUUCUACAACUGUACUGCAAAUUCAGUCAUGGAACAGAUCUACUCUGAAAUGAGAAAGGAGCAUGAAGAAGUCAACCUAAUAUUCAUUAUGACCAUUUCAUACUGGGAAGCCAUGUCCUAAAGGAAAUGCAGAUGGAUUACACCUUUUGUAUCCCAGAAGACAGUGCACAUCUUCUGGGACGUGCACUACUCACUGAGGGCUGUUUCUUGAACCUUUUCUUCACUGAGGAAUUCACAUGUCACUACUCUGUGAACUGCUGUUUUUUUUACCUCUGGCUUGUAGUGAUGACUCCACAUCUCAUCACCAGUAAUCAUGUGAUCCAGGAAUCUGCCACCUUCAGCCUCUUAAUGGUUCGAUACAUCCAGAAAAACUUGCAUAUAGUGUUCUUUUUGUUCCCAUGUGUACAUUCAUGGGACCCACUCAGCACAGACUUUGUGAUAUUCCAACAUUGUUGCUAUCAUUUCCAGUGCAUUCAAAUCAAUAUUCAGCCGUGUACACAGUUCCCUGGUUUUAAUCUGCUGAUUUGUGUGGGUGAGCUGAUCAAGAUGCUGUUCAGUUAAUGACGUGACAGCUGUGCAUGGCAGUUUGGUACAUGGCUUGUCUUUAAUGUUGCUGUUGCCACUGCUGAAACAUGCCACCCACUGCCUCACUGCGCUCACAUCCAAUGUCC